GCAAGAUCGGAUUAUCACGCUGACUAGGAGAGAACGAUCUGCUCCGAUCCUCUUUCUAUAUUCUCGACUUUCCCGACGUAGUGUUUUACAAGAUAUGGUUGACCGUUGACCUUCUUGCAAGGUGACAUGGGAUACUUAGUCGAAAAUAUGUUUUGGUAUCUGGAGCAUGCAUCUCGAUUGCCUUGCCCGGUGGACAAGUCCGCUCCGACAAACCAGAUGCUCGUCUAGUGUUAGCAGUCAAGUUCUAACACCCAAUCGGGUACAGAACUCAAAGGCGGCCAAACGAAGAUCUACUAGAUAUUCUCCCAGAUUUGAAGUGAGAUUUCCUUUUCUAAUAUUAGGCAAGUAGUGUGGCGGUUUAGAAGGUUUUUCUAAGUCCAAUUUUGUUAAUUUUUCUUAUUUCCUUUCUAAGGCAUGUAAUACUAAUACUGUAUAAUUACCCCGAAAUCAAUUCACUUAUAAUUA